rnacentral:rRNA from 1 species
GACGAACGCUGGCGGCGUGCCUAAUACAUGCAAGUCGAACGCUUCUUUCCUCCCGAGUGCUUGCACUCAAUUGGAAAGAGGAGUGGCGGACGGGUGAGUAACACGUGGGUAACCUACCCAUCAGAGGGGGAUAACACUUGGAAACAGGUGCUAAUACCGCAUAACAGUUUAUGCCGCAUGGCAUAAGAGUGAAAGGCGCUUUCGGGUGUCGUUGAUGGAUGGACCCGCGGUGCAUUAGCUAGUUGGUGAGGUAACGGCUCACCAAGGCCACGAUGCAUAGCCGACCUGAGAGGGUGAUCGGCCACACUGGGACUGAGACACGGCCCAGACUCCUACGGGAGGCAGCAGUAGGGAAUCUUCGGCAAUGGACGAAAGUCUGACCGAGCAACGCCGCGUGAGUGAAGAAGGUUUUCGGAUCGUAAAACUCUGUUGUUGGAGAAGAACAAGGACGUUAGUAACUGAACGUCCCCUGACGGUAUCUAACCAGAAAGCCACGGCUAACUACGUG